ensembl:lncRNA
GGCGCGCGCGGCUGCCGGCUCUCUCCCAGGGGCGCCGCGGAGGGUGCGGUCCCGAGCUGGGCGAGGCUUCCUGCGGGCGCCGCGCGCGAGAGACUCCGCUCCUGGGCUCUGCAGUUUCUCCUUGGCCCGCCCAGGAAUAGACACCCACAAAGGGAAGAAAAAGAGAAAACGUUUUCUCUAGGGCCCUUCGCGGGGAAGGCAGCGGCUGCAGCAGUUCUGGAGGAAACUAAAUCCAGUUCAACAACUUACCCAAGGUCACAAAGCAAGGAGAUUGAUUUUGUACUUCUUCGCUGAAUCAGAACUGCUUCUGCUCUUAUGUCUCAGUCGGGCACAGAGAUGCGUUCUAAUAGUUGAUGCUGUGUACACAGUGUAACAAGAAAUUAAGAAUCCAUAGAGACAGAAGUUUUAGGUUGGUUCCUGAGGCCUUGUGUUCUGCAACUCUCAGUGUGAUUUAAAAAUCAGAUGGAUGCUGGGACCUCCCUGGUGGUCCAGUGGUUGAGAAUCCACCUGCCAAUGCAUAGGACACAGGUUCGAUUCCUGGUCCAGGAAGAUCCCACAUGCAACGGAGCAACUGAGCUCCACUUAGUUGCUUAGACCUAACUAAGCCAUUAUGUCACAGCUACUGAGCUCAAGCACUGCAGCCACUGAAGCCUGAGAACGUAGAGCCCAUGCUCUGCAACAACAGAAGCCACUGAAAUGAGAAGCCCUAUGCACCAUAACUAGAGAGUAACUCUUGCUCACUGCAACUAGAGAAAGCCUGCACAGCAAGAAAGAUGCUGCUGCUGCUGCUGUGCUGCUCAGUCACAUCUGACUCUUUGCAACCCUAGCCUGCCAGACUCCUCUGUCCAUGGGAUUCUCCAGACAAGAAUACUGGAGUAGGUGGCCAUGCCCUCCUCCAGGGGAUCGUCCCAGCCCAGAGAUCGAACCUGCGUCACUUAUGUCUACUUGCACGGGCAGAUGGGUUCUUUACCACUAGCACCACCUGGGAAGCCCAAUAAAGACCCAGUGCAGCCACAAAUAAAUAAAU